rnacentral:rRNA from 1 species
UGGGGAAUAUUGGACAAUGGGCGAAAGCCUGAUCCAGCCAUGCCGCGUGUGUGAAGAAGGUCUUCGGAUUGUAAAGCACUUUACGUUGGGAGGAAGGGCAUUAACCUAAUACGUUAGUGUUUUGACGUUACCGACAGAAUAAGCACCGGCUAACUCUGUGCCAGCAGCCGCGGUAAUACAGAGGGUGCAAGCGUUAAUCGGAAUUACUGGGCGUAAAGCGCGCGUAGGUGGUUUGUUAAGUUGGAUGUGAAAUCCCCGGGCUCAACCUGGGAACUGCAUUCAAAACUGAUUGACUAGAGUAUGGUAGAGGGUGGUGGAAUUUCCUGUGUAGCGGUGAAAUGCGUAGAUAUAGGAAGGAACACCAGUGGCGAAGGCGACCACCUGGACUAAUACUGACACUGAGGUGCGAAAGCGUGGGGAGCAAACA